rnacentral:rRNA from 1 species
AUGAACGCUGGCGGCGUGCCUAAUACAUGCAAGUCGAGCGAACAGACGAGGAGCUUGCUCCUCAGACGUUAGCGGCGGACGGGUGAGUAACACGUGGAUAACCUACCUAUAAGACUGGGAUAACUUCGGGAAACCGGAGCUAAUACCGGAUAAUAUAUUGAACCGCAUGGUUCAAUAGUGAAAGACGGUUUUGCUGUCACUUAUAGAUGGAUCCGCGCCGCAUUAGCUAGUUGGUAAGGUAACGGCUUACCAAGGCGACGAUGCGUAGCCGACCUGAGAGGGUGAUCGGCCACACUGGAACUGAGACACGGUCCAGACUCCUACGGGAGGCAGCAGUAGGGAAUCUUCCGCAAUGGGCGAAAGCCUGACGGAGCAACGCCGCGUGAGUGAUGAAGGUCUUCGGAUCGUAAAACUCUGUUAUUAGGGAAGAACAAAUGUGUAAGUAACUAUGCACGUCUUGACGGUACCUAAUCAGAAAGCCACGGCUAACUACGUG